UUUGAUUAUGGCUCAGGAUGAACGCUAGCUACAGGCUUAACACAUGCAAGUCGAGGGGAAACGAUAGAGAAAGCUUGCUUUUUCUAGGCGUCGACCGGCGCACGGGUGAGUAACGCGUAUCCAACCUGCCCAUCACUUGGGGAUAACCUUGCGAAAGUAAGACUAAUACCCAAUGAUAUCUCAAGAAGACAUCUGAAUGAGGUUAAAGAUUUAUCGGUGAUGGAUGGGGAUGCGUCUGAUUAGCUUGUUGGCGGGGUAACGGCCCACCAAGGCGACGAUCAGUAGGGGUUCUGAGGGGAAGGUCCCCCACAUUGGAACUGAGACACGGUCCAAACUCCUACGGGAGGCAGCAGUGAGGAAUAUUGGUCAAUGGACGAGAGUCUGAACCAGCCAAGUAGCGUGCAGGAUGACGGCCCUAUGGGUUGUAAACUGCUUUUAUAAGGGAAUAAAGUGAGUCUCGUGAGGCUUUUUGCAUGUACCUUAUGAAUAAGGACCGGCUAAUUCCGUGCCAGCAGCCGCGGUAAUACGGAAGGUCCGGGCGUUAUCCGGAUUUAUUGGGUUUAAAGGGAGCGUAGGCCGGAGAUUAAGCGUGUUGUGAAAUGUAGGUGCUCAACAUCUGCACUGCAGCGCGAACUGGUUUCCUUGAGUACGCACAAAGUGGGCGGAAUUCGUGGUGUAGCGGUGAAAUGCUUAGAUAUCACGAAGAACUCCGAUUGCGAAGGCAGCUCACUGGAGCGCAACUGACGCUGAAGCUCGAAAGUGCGGGUAUCGAACAGGAUUAGAUACCCUGGUAGUCCGCACGGUAAACGAUGGAUGCCCGCUGUUGG
rnacentral:rRNA from 1 species